AGAGGCUCACUGACUGGAGGUGAGGUAGAGACCCACAUUUUCCUUUGGAAUAACCCAUGAGAAAGCUGCCUGAGUCUACGAGAGUAAACAGCACACCGGCCGUGAGUCUACAAGAGGCAAUGGCGCACUGGCCAUGAGUCUACAGAGUCCAUAGCACACUGGCCGUGAGUCUACAAGUGUCAGCAGCACACUGGCCAUGAGUCUACGAGAGUCCACAUAACAGUACACUGGCCACCUGACUGAUACUUGUGAAGUCACAGGUUAAUGACUUACACUGGGCUCUGCUGAGGAGCAACGGGUAGAUACACAUCUGUGAAGUCUGUAGCACAGUUUAAAGAUGCCUACAGGACAGAAUAUUCUAUCACUGUGCCCCAGUCAUGCACAGGGAGAUAUCCAGAACCCAGUCCUCCUCUGCUUGCUGGCCUUGAAGAAUGCAGUCAGCUUCCCCAGGGAUAGGAAGAUCUGAAUUCCCAGAGGUUCCUCUUUGCUUCUGAGUCGGCUAAUGGAACGCAUCCGAUUACCCUUGUGAACAGGCAAGAGCAUGGGCAAUAUUCUCUUCACUGGUGCAUGAGUCACUGACUUGAUGAAGAUUACCUGACACGGGUGUGCAUGGUGAGCCUGGGAGCAGCAAAUCCUAACUCUCAGCCACAUUCAUCAUUUUUGUCAAUUAAUUAGGUCCCGGCAUAAGAGGGCCAUUCAUCUCUAUAGAUUUUGCCUGCCAGACUCCAGAGUCUUUCUUUGCUUGAAAAAAUAUGCCGAUCUACCUGCAAAUUUGAAGCAAAGGCAACCUAAGACCCAAGGAGCUUUCUUGCUCUGCAUCCUUGGACAGCAAUGCUCACUGCUGCGAGCUGACUCAUGCUCUUGGCUAGAGAUGUGGAUGCCAGCUUGGUGCCCUAGAAACCCUGCUCUCCUCCCAUGAAGUCUGGGUCCUGGAAGCUGGCAAACAUUUGUACUAGUGGGCUGGGAAUAGCCAGAAAGAGGUUUCUAAUAUACUCUUCUUAGAGACCCCUUUGCCUCCCAUCCAAUAUCAGUGCUUUUGUAUCUAAUACAAAUUCCACCACUCUCAACAUGGAGAGGACACUGCAAAGAUAAAGUAUUGUUUUCCAUUUUAUUUUGUUUGUGUGUUGGGGGUGUGUAUUUUUUUUUCCUGUGAAACACAUGUACGUGGUAGCUUUGGAGGCCAGAAGAGGGCAUUGAAUCUUCUAGGACUACAGUUACAGGUAGCU